CGGAGAGUGGCGCAAUUGGCUAGCGCGCAUCGUUUGGGACGAUGAGGUUCCGGGUUCAAGUCCCGGCUCUCCGA
rnacentral:tRNA from 2 species